AGAGUUUGAUCAUGGCUCAGAUUGAACGCUGGCGGCAGGCCUAACACAUGCAAGUCGAACGGUAACAGGAAGCAGCUUGCUGCUUCGCUGACGAGUGUUGGACGGGUGAGUAAUGUCUGGGAAACUGCCCGAUGGAGGGGGAUAACUACUGGAAACGUUGGCUAAUACCGCAUAACGUCGCCAGACCAAAGUGGGGGAGCUUCAGGCCUCUUGCCAUCGCAUGUGCCCAGAUGGGAUUAGCUGGUAGGUGGGGUAACGGCUCUCCUAGGCGACGAUCCCUAGCUGGUCUGAGAGGAUGACCAGCCACACUGGAACUGAGACAUGGUCCAGACUCCUACUGGAGCCAGCAUUGGGGAAUAUUGCUCAAUGGGCGCAAGCCUGAUGCAGCCAUGUCGGCGAGAUGACCAAGGCCUUCGUGUUUGUAAACGACUUGCUGCGUGUCGUAAGCUGUUCUGUCCAUUAACGCAGCUAUUUGACGUUCCCUGACGACUAGCUACCCUAUACUACGUAGCCAGUGCCGCGGUAAUACCGAGGGUGCUAGCGUAGUCGGAGUACUGGACGGUAAGCGCACGCAGGCGGUCUGUCAAGUCGGAUGUGAAAUCCCCGGGCUCAACCUGGGAACUGCAUUCGAAACUGGCAGGCUUGAGUCUUGUAGAGGGGGGUAGAAUUCCAGGUGUAGCGGUGAAAUGCGUAGAGAUCUGGAGGAAUACCGGUGGCGAAGGCGGCCCCCUGGACAAAGACUGACGCUCAGGUGCGAAAGCGUGGGGAGCAAACAGGAUUAGAUACCCUGGUAGUCCACGCCGUAAACGAUGUCUACUUGGAGGCUGUGCCCUUGAGGCGUGGCUUCCGGAGCUAACGCGUUAAGUAGACCGCCUGGGGAGUACGGCCGCAAGGUUAAAACUCAAAUGAAUUGACGGGGGCCCGCACAAGCGGUGGAGCAUGUGGUUUAAUUCGAUGCAACGCGAAGAACCUUACCUGGUCUUGACAUCCACGGAAGGUCUCAGAGAUGAGACUGUGCCUUCGGGAGCCGUGAGACAGGUGCUGCAUGGCUGUCGUCAGCUCGUGUUGUGAAAUGUUGGGUUAAGUCCCGCAACGAGCGCAACCCUUAUCCUUUGUUGCCAGCGGUCCGGCCGGGAACUCAAAGGAGACUGCCAGUGAUAAACUGGAGGAAGGUGGGGAUGACGUCAAGUCAUCAUGGCCCUUACGACCAGGGCUACACACGUGCUACAAUGGCGCAUACAAAGAGAAGCGACCUCGCGAGAGCAAGCGGACCUCAUAAAGUGCGUCGUAGUCCGGAUUGGAGUCUGCAACUCGACUCCAUGAAGUCGGAAUCGCUAGUAAUCGUGGAUCAGAAUGCCACGGUGAAUACGUUCCCGGGCCUUGUACACACCGCCCGUCACACCAUGGGAGUGGGUUGCAAAAGAAGUAGGUAGCUUAACCUUCGGGAGGGCGCUUACCACUUUGUGAUUCAUGACUGGGGUGAAGUCGUAACAAGGUAACCGUAGGGGAACCUGCGGUUGGAUCACCU
rnacentral:rRNA from 1 species